rnacentral:rRNA from 1 species
CGCAUCUGUGCAUGCAGCAUAUCAAUAAGCGGAGGAAAAGAAACUAACAAGGAUUCCCUUAGUAACGGCGAGUGAAGCGGGAAGAGCUCAAAUUUGAAAUCUUCAAGGUUUUACCUUGACGAACUUGUAGUUUAAAGAAGUGUUUUCUGCUGAGGUUUUGGUAAAAGUUCUUUGGAAUAGGACAUCAUAGAGGGUGAGAAUCCCGUAUUUGACCAUUACUUUCAACUUUGUGAUACACUUUCAAAGAGUCGGAUUGUUUGGGAAUGCAGUCCAAAAUGGGUGGUAAAUUUCAUCUAAAGCUAAAUAUUGGCGAGAGACCGAUAGCGAACAAGUACCGUGAGGGAAAGAUGAAAGGAACUUUGAAAAGAGAGUUAAACAGUACGUGAAAUUGUCCAAAAGGGAAGCGUUUGACACCAGUGUUGUUUUUCUGAAAAUCAAUUAAAGAACUGUUUAUGCUAAGCUGUUUAGACUUUAUCAGCUAUCUGUUUAGUUUUGAGCUUUUCUUUAAUGCACUUUUCAGUUAACAAGUCAACAUCAAUUUCUUUUGCUGUAAAAAAGCUUGAGGAAGGUGGCUUGAGAUUCGUCUUAAGUGUUUAUAGCCUCUUGCCUAUGCAGUCGGAGAGAUUGAGGUCUGCAGCGUAGAUCCUUCGGGGCUAAAUGCAUUUGUGCUAAGUUAUAGCAUUUUAUAGACAACUUGUUGACUAUGAUUUGUCUUGUAGCUUACUCGCUUAUGUUAUUUUACCUACGCUUAGGAUGUUGAUAGUCACAGGUGUAC